AUUGAACGCUGGCGGCAUGCUUUACACAUGCAAGUCGAACGGUAACAGGUCUUCGGAUGCUGACGAGUGGCGAACGGGUGAGUAAUGUAUCGGAACGUGCCCAGUAGUGGGGGAUAACUACUCGAAAGAGUGGCUAAUACCGCAUGAGAACUGAGGUUGAAAGUGGGGGACCGCAAGGCCUCACGCUACUGGAGCGGCCGAUAUCAGAUUAGGUAGUUGGUGGGGUAAAGGCCUACCAAGCCUGCGAUCUGUAGCUGGUCUGAGAGGACGACCAGCCACACUGGGACUGGGACACGGCCCAGACUCCUACGGGAGGCAGCAGUGGGGAAUUUUGGACAAUGGGCGCAAGCCUGAUCCAGCAAUGCCGCGUGCAGGACGAAGGCCUUCGGGUUGUAAACUGCUUUUGUACAGAACGAAAAGGCCUCUUCUAAUACAGAGGGUGCAUGACGGUACUGUAAGAAUAAGCACCGGCUAACUACGUGCCAGCAGCCGCGGUAA
rnacentral:rRNA from 1 species